GCGUGAGUGAUGAAGGCCUUAGGGUUGUAAAGCUCUUUUGCCGGGGACGAUAAUGACGGUACCCGGAGAAUAAGUCCCGGCUAACUUCGUGCCAGCAGCCGCGGUAAUACGAAGGGGACUAGCGUUGUUCGGAAUCACUGGGCGUAAAGCGCACGUAGGCGGAUAUGUAAGUGAGGGGUGAAAUCCCGGGGCUCAACCUCGGAACUGCCUUUCAUACUGCGUAUCUCGAGUCCGAUAGAGGUGAGUGGAAUUCCUAGUGUAGAGGUGAAAUUCGU
rnacentral:rRNA from 1 species